GAUGAACGCUAGCGGCGGGCCUAAUACAUGCAAGUCGAACGGGAUUGUUGGUAGCAAUACUGGCAUGAGAGUGGCGCACGGGUGCGUAACACGUAUGUAACCUACCUUUAACUGGGGAAUAGCUCCGAGAAAUCGAAAUUAAUACCCCAUAAAGUUUAGAAAGGCAUCUUUUCUUUACCAAAGUUCAGGCGGUUAAAGAUGGACAUGCGGUGCAUUAGCUUGUUGGUGAGGUAAU
rnacentral:rRNA from 1 species